rnacentral:ncRNA from 1 species
AACGACCGGCCGGACACCUGUGUGCCCGGCCCACAAGUGGAGGCUCCGUACUCCCACCUGACCACCCUCGCGGGUGGCGGGUCACCGGUCAGGUGGUGCCCAUCGUUCCGUACGGACGAUGGAACCGCCCGAGUUUGCGCCCCGCGGUUGACCGCGGCGGUGCUCCGGUAUUUCCGUGGAGCCCCGCCUGUGUCCCGUCCGGGGCGUUUUUU